AUUGAACGCUGGCGGCAUGCCUUACACAUGCAAGUCGAACGGCAGCACGGGUGCUUGCACCUGGUGGCGAGUGGCGAACGGGUGAGUAAUACAUCGGAACAUGUCCUGUAGUGGGGGAUAGCCCGGCGAACGCCGGAUUAAUACCGCAUACGAUCUACGGAUGAAAACGGGGGACCGUCGGGCCUCGCGCUGUAGGGUUGGCUGAUGGCUGAUUAGCUAGUUGGUGGGGUAAAGGCCUACCAAGGCGACGAUCAGUAGCUGGUCUGAGAGGACGACCAGCCACACUGGGACUGAGACACGGCCCAGACUCCUACGGGAGGCAGCAGUGGGGAAUUUUGGACGAUGGGCGAAAGCCUGAUCCAGCAAUGCCGCGUGUGUGAAGAAGGCCUUCGGGUUGUAAAGCACUUUUGUCCGGAAAGAAAUCCUUGGCCCUAAUACGGUCGGGGGAUGACGGUACCGGAAGAAUAAGCACCGGCUAACUACGUG
rnacentral:rRNA from 1 species